GAUGAAGAACGUAUCGAAAUGCGAUACGUAAUGUGAAUUGCAAAUUCAGUGAAUCAUCGAGUCUUUGAACGCACAUUGCGCCCCCUGGUAUUCCGGGGGGCAUGCCUGUCCGAGCGUCAUUGCUGCCCUCAAGCACGGCUUGUGUGUUGGGCCCCGUCCUCCGAUCCCGGGGGACGGGCCCGAAAGGCAGCGGCGGCACCGCGUCCGGUCCUCGAGCGUAUGGGGCUUUGUCACCCGCUCUGUAGGCCCGGCCGGCGCUUGCCGAUCAACCCAAAUUUUUAUCCAGGUUGACCUCGGAUCAGGUAGGGAUACCCGCUGAACUUAAGCAUAUCAAAUAAGCGGAGGA
rnacentral:misc_RNA from 1 species